UACGUAGGGUGCAAGCGUUGUCCGGAAUUACUGGGCGUAAAGCGCGUGUAGGCGGCCCUGCAAGUCGGGUGUGAAAUCCCACGGCUCAACCGUGGAAGUGCACUCGAAACUGCAGGGCUAGAGUCCUGGAGAGGAAGGUGGAAUGCUUGGUGUAGAGGUGAAAUUCGUAGAUAUCAAGCGGAACACCGGUGGCGAAGGCGGCCUUCUGGACAGUGACUGACGCUGAGACGCGAAAGCGUGGGGAGCAAACAGG
rnacentral:rRNA from 1 species